UGGGGAAUAUUGCACAAUGGGCGCAAGCCUGAUGCAGCCAUGCCGCGUGUGUGAAGAAGGCCUUCGGGUUGUAAAGCACUUUCAGCGAGGAGGAAGGUGGUGAGCUUAAUACGCUCAUCAAUUGACGUUACUCGCAGAAGAAGCACCGGCUAACUCCGUGCCAGCAGCCGCGGUAAUACGGAGGGUGCAAGCGUUAAUCGGAAUUACUGGGCGUAAAGCGCACGCAGGCGGUUUGUUAAGUCAGAUGUGAAAUCCCCCGGGCUCAACCUGGGAACUGCAUUUGAAACUGGCAAGCUAGAGUCUCGUAGAGGGGGGUAGAAUUCCAGGUGUAGCGGUGAAAUGCGUAGAGAUCUGGAGGAAUACCGGUGGCGAAGGCGGCCCCCCUGGACGAAGACUGACGCUCAGGUGCGAAAGCGUGGGGCAGCAAACAGGAUUAGAUACCCUGGUAGUCCACGCUGUAAACGAUGUCGAUUUGGAGGUUGUGCCCCUUGAGGCGUGGCUUCCGGAGCUAACG
rnacentral:rRNA from 1 species